rnacentral:lncRNA from 1 species
AUGCCAUUGGGAAAUAGCUUUAAUGGGCAAAUGGAAAAAUCAAGACACAAAAAUCACGUUGUUAAGAAGCCAGAAAUCUUCGUAUUCGUAAGCAAAAAGGGGAGAUAUAGGCUUCCCAGACACCCUGUCUAUACAGAGAUCACAGCCGGGAGCAGAAUAAAUGAGCACUUCACCAACUUGAAAAUACAAUUCUCUUGGUUAUUAAUAGUCAAAAGACUCCCAGUACUGGGCCAGAAGUUUCUUUUUUAGUAGCAAUUACUUAAAUUAAGUUUCUGAUUUGUAUUAAAGUUUUCUGGCAGAACUCAACACAGGAUGCAAGAGCAUGAGGAAGAUUUCCAAACAAGAUUACACGGUUUUCCGAUGUGAUACAUUUGAUCAUCUCUGAAAAGGCAGGGGCGACAUUGCAAUCUUAAUUGAAAUGUCAAAUUCUUGGGAAACGUUCUCCUUGUUAACAUUGGACUUAAGGAUUGUAAUGAUUAUUUACUUUGAGCUCCAGAGGUUUUGAAGAAAUGUAAAAGAAUCCUAAGCAGGUGAAUGAGAGAUUUGACAGAUACUUAAAAAACACCAUUUGGGGAAAACCUGGUUUUUGUCCCUUGAGGGAUCCUCAAAAUCUGUUCAAUGAGGCAUUGUUCCAUUUUUUUUCUCUUUCAGUCUUCUCUUCCUUGAACUAGGCCUUUUCAAAGAAUGCUUCUGCUCAUUGACCAGCAGGUUGAGAGAUUUAUAUUUGGUUUCUAAUUAAGUACCCUAACUGUAAGUGAGAGAAUGGAGAAGAAAAGCCCAUAGUCUUAUAUCCCAAGAAGAAAGCAAGUGUUUGCUUCAGUGGCAAACCUGCCUUCUCAGGAGUCUAAGGGGGAGCAAAGAAGGCCCAUUUUAUUUCUUCUGAAGACAUCCUCUGGCGCUUGAGAACGUCUGAUGUUGUUUAGCAGGGUAAGCCAACCGCUGAUGGGUUCUGUUAAGAACAAAAGCCUUGGCUUCUGGUCCCAGAGAGUAAUGAAUUUCUAGUAACACUUAACAUGGUAAUUACGAUGAAAAAUGUAUUUUAAAAUUAAUGUACUUUAACAGAUAUGUCAAGUUGAAUCCAGAGCCAAGGACACUGGCUUAAACUAAAUUGACUUAUGGCCUUUUGGGAUUCUUGGGUCAUGUAAGAGCUCAGUUUGACUUUAUCCCUAACUCAGUUUCUCUAUUCCCUCUUCAUAUCACAACUAUUAGAGACAUAAAAAGUGCCCUGUGACUAUGAUAUAGUCUUUUGGGAGACCUGGAAGAUGUCAUAUCUUUUUUUUCUUGAAAAUAAAGUUUAUAGGGGUCCCUGGGUAGCUCAGUCAAUUGAGCCUCCUACUCUUGAUUUCAGCUGAGGUUGUGAUAUCUGGGUCAUGGGGUCAGGCCUGGCCUCAGGCUUCAUGCUCAGCGUGGAGUCUGCUUGUCUCUCUCCUUCCCCCUGAUUGUAUACUCUCUCUCUCUAAAAUAAUAAAAUCCUUUUUAAAAAAUUAAAAAUUAAAAAAAAAGGAAAGUUUAUCGGGGCACCUGACUGACUCAGCCAAGGGGGCACAUGAAUCUUGACCUUGGAGUUGUGAGUUCAAGCCCCAUAUUGGAUAUAGAGAUUACUUAAAAAUAAAAUCUUUUUUAUUUUUAAAGAAAGUGUAUAAAAACAACACAUUGUAAAAAUAUUAUCCCAAACCCAAAAAGCUGAUUCUUCUGUCCGUUUCAAAGAAAUCAAGAUAGAAAUAAAAUUGUUUUUAUUAAUAUUUGGAGGACGGCAUUCAUAUCUAAGUAAGAAUUAUGCUUGUGAAAAAAAGAGAUCUGAACUCACUCUAAAAAAUUUUGCCCCCUUCCAUUUCUGUACAUUAGAAAACCGUUCCUGCCUUCCUCUUUACUUUUCCAAGUUAUUAAAGAUUUUGUGUCUUUCUUAGUUUCCCGGUAUGAAGCAAAACACUGUAAAUACAUCAGAGAAAUGCUAGAAUUUUAGCCAGUAAUAAUUCAAAGCUUUGACUCUGAAUACAGGCACCCACUAUUCACAGUAUUUCCCAUUGUAUCCUGUUUACAGAGAACCCAGAUGAAUGGUGCCCACCUGGAGGUGUCCCAUGGACCGAAAUAAUCUUAGCAAAUGUGCGAUGGUCUGGGUACAGCCGCUGCUACCUCCUCAUCUAGCUGAGCCCACUGCUUGGUGCCACCAGUCUGUUAGAUAGUAACCUUCAAGCCCUCCUGGCCUUGUUGAUAUUUCGUUGCCUAUCAGUGGAUCAUUAGUUGGAGUAUUUCCUUAGUCAUAGAGACUAGCCGUUUGUUGGGACGUUCUCAGUAGGAACUACAGUUGAAGAUAACAGAAGGGUUAUUUAAACAUGAAUGUGAAAACACAAAACAAAACACUUCUUUCUUCUUGGGGCCUAAGACUGUUUUGUUAUUUUCUGAUUCUUAAACUUGUUCAGGCUUCUUAAGUGCAGAGAUCUGAUUGUCUUUUUAAUCUUUCCUGUGACAUUUGAAUGUUUAAGUCUUUUGAGAAUAUAUAUAUUUACAUUUUCCAACCAGCCAACGGCACUUAAUAUCUUCUAUAGUUCCAAAGAUUAGGAAAAGAAGAGAAAGCUAGAGAGUUGGCAAGCAAGUGUGUAAUAAUCUGGCAAGGAAAUUCUUGAGCAAGAAUAUAUGGGUUUGAGUUUAUUGGAACAUUUGAAAGCAAUUAAAUUGUUUUUUUCCCCUCAAACUUAUUUUUGUCCUUUUUACUUUAAGCACACAGAGGCAUACAGCUGAAAAAUAACAUUGCAAGUAUAAAUGAAUCAUUAAGCUGAUCAAGCCAAGAAGCUACUACCAGGAGUCUUUAUAGAAUACUAGGUAAGGGGGAUCCCUGGGUGGCGCAGCAGUUUGGCGCCUGCCUUUGGCCCAGGGCGCGAUCCUGGAGACCCGGGAUCGAAUCCCACAUCAGGCUCCCGGUGCAUGGAGCCUGCUUCUCCCUCUGCCUGUGUCUCUGUCUCUCUCUCUCUCUCUCUCUGUGUGACUAUCAUAAAUAAAUAAAAAUUAAAAAUAAAUAAAAAAUAGAAUACUAGGUAAAAUGUCUGUCAUCUAUGCUCAGGCUUAUUGGAGGGGUCGGGACCAGCCCUUUAAAAAAAAAAACUGAUCAGCUCCUGAAUAUUCAAAUUUAUAUUUAUUGACCUGAUACAGAGUGUCCUGCAUAGUGUUAAAAACAGCGUCUUCCAAACUGUGG